AGUCAGCGGGGCUGUGCGUGCGUGCGUGAGAGUAAGAGGCAGGCGGGCCCUACACGCAGGCGGCGGCGGCGGCGGCGGCGGCGGCUGCGAGGUCUGGGGCGGGGAGCCAGGAAGGGGAGGAGGCGGGCGAGAAGUAGUGGAGUUUAGGGCGCGUUUCCCGCACUUCCCCUGGAGGCUGGAGCCAGGAUACAGCCUGAAGGACAAAGCUGUUGAGUUCUAGAAAGAGAUAACUUAAAUGUGCGUGAGACAGAGAUGAGGAAGAGAAUCUGCUAAGCACUAGGAAACAAUACUAAAUGAGCACCUUGAGGAAACUGCAAAGUAGUUUCUACUUUAUCAGGAUUUUCAAUUCCAGGGUCUUGGUGCUCCGGCCAGGUGUCAGGCCUGAGCCUCUGAGGUGGGAGAGCUGAGCUCAGGAUAUUGGACCAUCAAAGACAUCCCAGCCCUACAUAAUAUCAAUCGGUGAGAGCUCUCCCAGAGAUCUCCGUCUCAAC